GAUGAACGCUGGCGGCGUGCCUAAUACAUGCAAGUCGAGCGAACAGACGAGGAGCUUGCUCCUCUGACGUUAGCGGCGGACGGGUGAGUAACACGUGGAUAACCUACCUAUAAGACUGGGAUAACUUCGGGAAACCGGGGCUAAUACCGGAUAAUAUAUUGAAUCGCAUGGUUCAAUAGUGAAAGACGGUUUUGCUGUCACUUAUAGAUGGAUCCGCGCCGCAUUAGCUAGUUGGUAAGGUAACGGCUUACCAAGGCAACGAUGCGUAGCCGACCUGAGAGGGUGAUCGGCCACACUGGAACUGAGACGCGGUCCAGACUCCUACGGGAGGCAGCAGUAGGGAAUCUUCCGCAAUGGGCGAAAGCCAGACGGAGCAACGCCGCGUGAGUGAUGAAGGUCUUCGGAUCGGAAAACUCUGUUAUUAGGGAAGAACAAAUGUGUAAGUAACUAUGCACGUCUUGACGGUACCUAAUCAGAAAGCCACGGCUAACUACGUG
rnacentral:rRNA from 1 species